rnacentral:lncRNA from 1 species
AUGCAGAAGCUUCCCGCACAUCCUUACUAGCACCAAAACUGCUCAUGAGUGGCUACGAAGUCCACGUAGCUCCAAGCCCUCACAAGCAUCCUCGCAUCUGUCGGUGCUGAGGCUGCCUACAAGCAGCUCCAAAGUCCCUGCAUACUCAUCGUGGUAGGUCUCUCCUCUACGAGCUGUCACGAUCGACCCCACUCCUGCGAACCUAUCACUGCCAAUCCUACCCCCAUGGAUGAUGUCAUGCUCUGCCUACACGCACGGGCCUAGCCGAAGUAGGCCCG